GUUUAAAGACACAUUACUGGGAGUAUUAUUGCUGUGGAGCUCUGUUAUACACUCAGACACAUUACUGGGAGUAUUAUUGCUGUGGAGCACUGUUAUACACUCAGACACAUUACUGGGAGUAUUAUUGCUGUGGAGCUCUGUUAUACACUCAGACACAUUACUGGAAGUAUUAUUACUGUGGAGCUCUGUUAUACACUCAGACACGUUACUGGGAGUAUUAUUGCUGUGGAGCACUGUUAUACACUCAGACACAUUACUGGGAGUAUUAUUGCUGUGGAGCUCUGUUAUACACUCAGACACGUUACUGGGAGUAUUAUUGCUGUGGAGCUCUGUUAUACACUCAGACACAACAACAAUAUGGAGCUUUUAGAAAAGAGAGACAUUGGGAUAGAAAAUAAG